GCAGUGGGGAAUAUUGCACAAUGGGCGAAAGCCUGAUGCAGCGACGCCGCGUGAGGGAUGACGGCCUUCGGGUUGUAAACCUCUUUCAGCAGGGAAGAAGCGAAAGUGACGGUACCUGCAGAAGAAGCGCCGGCUAACUACGUGCCAGCAGCCGCGGUAAUACGUAGGGCGCAAGCGUUGUCCGGAAUUAUUGGGCGUAAAGAGCUCGUAGGCGGCUUGUCACGUCGGAUGUGAAAGCCCGGGGCUUAACCCCGGGUCUGCAUUCGAUACGGGCUAGCUAGAGUGUGGUAGGGGAGAUCGGAAUUCCUGGUGUAGCGGUGAAAUGCGCAGAUAUCAGGAGGAACACCGGUGGCGAAGGCGGAUCUCUGGGCCGUUACUGACGCUGAGGAGCGAAAGCGUGGGGAGCGAACAGGAUUAGAUACCCUGGUAGUCCACGCCGUAAACG
rnacentral:rRNA from 1 species